rnacentral:snRNA from 1 species
GGAAGUGUAUUCUGUGAUUGUUCUGUGCAUCGAUCGAUAUACAGGUGAUUCAUCUGUUUAUCAGAUCUGCUCAGUGCCGACCCUCCGUCACACCUUUGUUUCCCAGUAAUUCUGCCUGGCAUUGCUGAGGCGACAUAGUUCGGUUCGGCUUUCCGAUGCCUCCGCCGAGGGACGACGGGUCCUUUCGGCGGCAGACGCACGGUUGUGUUCCAGUGAUCCGUCUCCCCCUUCGCUCCGCGGAUUUCGGUCAGGACAUUUGUCUACGACUGCAAUACGAUUUGAGCGGAGGCGGGCGGCGGCGCUGGUGCUGAAGCCGACGACAGUUGCCCGAGUCAGCCAUUUUCAAAAUUUCUUGGUUAAGUAACUUUGUAGCUUAGCUUCGGAUUUUCGUAAUAUAUUUGCUGUUCAGAACACUUCCAUGUACGCGGCAUUGCCGAGCAAUUUGCCCAUUCUUUUG